AGAGUUUGAUCAUGGCUCAGGACGAACGCUGGCGGCGUGCUUAACACAUGCAAGUCGAACGGUGACCUGCGGAGCUUGCUCCGCGGCGAUCAGUGGCGAACGGGUGAGUAACACGUGAGGAACCUGCCCUGGACUUUGGGAUAACCCUCGGAAACGGGGGCUAAUACCGGAUAUGGCAUUUCAUCGCAUGGUGGGGUGUGGAAAGAUUUAUCGGAUCGGGAGGGUCUCGCGGCCUAUCAGCUUGUUGGAGAGGUAACGGCUCACCAAGGCAUCGACGGGUAGCUGGUCUGAGAGGAUGAUCAGCCACACUGGGACUGAGACACGGCCCAGACUCCUACGGGAGGCAGCAGUGGGGAAUCUUGCACAAUGGGCGAAAGCCUGAUGCAGCAACGCCGCGUGCGGGAUGAAGGCCCUAGGGUUGUAAACCGCUUUCAGCAGGGAAGAAAAUGACGGUACCUGCAGAAGAAGGUGCGGCCAACUACGUGCCAGCAGCCGCGGUAAUUC
rnacentral:rRNA from 1 species